AGAGAUAAGGACUAUGGCAUACUCUCCAUCUUUCUCUCCGCCUCUUUGUCCGAUGGUGCUGUGAAUUUUUAUGGAAUGUCUUUCUUUAAUUUUACCUGCAUUUGUAAAUAAGUGCCAUACUUUAAAGUUAUAAAUGGACAAUACACUAUUUGACACCUGAACUGAAUAAAACCACCCAACCCCUUUUUCUGAACCCCUCUUUUUCUAUUACAGGCAGGUGCAGCCUCUCCCAGCAGCACCGGGUGCCAAGCAGGCAGGAGCACAAAGGAGAAAGCGAAUGAUGUCAGUCCCGCGGUGGCCUGAUGCACUAAGUAAGUCUGUGCUUUUGGUGCUUUCUGAGGUCCCCGCUCUACACUUGGCGUUAACAUGAGUUUUGUAUGUGGAUGAAGUUAAAGUGGCACUCAAAUGUUCCUCCAGUGAUGACACUUAAUGACACUGUUAGAAUGUGUGUGGCAGCGGACAUGGCAGCAGUAACCCACAUGGGCACCUCCAUGAGAGAAUUCCUAAAACGGUGAAGACCAAAGGAAAAUAAAUAAAAACAAAGCACCUUCAGCGUGGGAAAGGUGCCAUAGAAAUAAAAUGUAUUAUUAAUUAUAAUUACAUUAUGAUGAUGUCAAAAAUAUAACAUAUUUAUAAUACACAAAGGUAAGCAAUAGAAAAAGUAAUUUGGAAUAAAUAAAUUUGGGAAAAAAAAAACUUUCCCAACAAGAUCACCAAAAAUGCAUAUUAAUGCCAGGAGUAAAAGGGUCCUCGGACCCCAAUUUAGUUCAAAUGCUGUGUCGAAGCACUCGAUAGAAGUGACAAAAUGACAGAAAUUACAAGAAAGUCAUUGCAAAGUAACUUUCACUAAUGCUGAAUAUAAUUAUUAACAUCAUUGCUGCGUUAAAUGAAACCAAGUGUCACUGAUGAGGUCCCCUCCAUUUUCACGUCCCCGCAUGGAGAAGUUGGCCAUCAACCCAAAGACCCCCCCAAGUCAGGAGUGAAUCUCAUUUUGUAAAGCUGCUUAAUCACUUGCUUCUGACAUGGAGCCCCCGGGUUUGCAGCCUGCCAGUCUGUGUGAGGACAAGAAACGGAGAAGGACGGAACCCUGAGUGAUUCCUCGCCGGUGACACUCCAGUUAUUUAAGCCUCGCUUUUGUUUACUUCAGGUAGGAGUUUGCAGCUAAAGUGUCCAAAGCUCACGUUAUCAGGUGCUGUUUCAUUGUGAUUACAGCGGUGGGCUUUCUCACCGAGUUCAUCCCGGCCAAUGCUGGAGUACAGAAGUCUGGCUUGGUGGCAAGCUCGUGGGGCCAAAUGAGAACACACGUCUGGAGACAACUCGCCAAAAACGUCUGUAGGGAAUCGCAGCAGAAUCUGCCACGGAAAAGACUCCGCCCACGGGGUUUGCUCCUGGAAACCCACCCUUCACACUUUAGUUUGCAGUGUCCCGUUUCUGCACAGACAAAUAUGUGAGGGAGUGAGAGA